AUAUCACUGUUUAAUGCCGGAUUGUGUAAAGGUGUUCAUGAGAUACCAACCUCUUGUCAAUUUGUGAAUUUCGCCAGCCGUCCUCUCUCGUUUUCAUGGAGACAGACGUUGUGUGCACGGAGGGGAGCGGCUGUGUGUGUGUGUGUGUGUGUGUGUGUGUGUGUGUGUGUGUGUGUGUGUGUGUGUGUGUGAGAGAGUGAGA